AUUUAAUAUUAAUUAAUCAUUUAAAGUAAAAUUUUGUUAUAUAAAUAUUCUAAUGAUUAAUGUAUUAUUUUAUUGGGGUGAUAAUGGUAAAAUGACUAUUAACUGUUUAUUAUUUUAUUACAAAAAUUAUUGAAUAUAUUUUAAUAAAUGAUCCUUGUUAAAGAUUAAGAGUUUAAGUU
rnacentral:rRNA from 1 species